rnacentral:lncRNA from 1 species
GCAGCUUCGUACAAUAGAGAUACGCCUCAUUCACAUCAUCAUCAGCAGAGACAAACAGGGAGGACAAUCAGAUUCAAACAGAGCAAACACAUAUUUAAAUUGUCUAUUUCUUUUCAUUCUUUCCGUGGCUGAACAAGGAUGUCUUUGAAAAGUGCAAAGGGAGGACCAGAAAGUAGACCAUCCUCUGCUGCCAGCAUGUCUCCACGAGGAGGGAGGGGUGCACCAGCUGGCAGAUCGCCAGCGACGAGAUUCAAAAGCAAGGCCCUUCAACUCAGCCUCUCCAAGAAAUUCUGCUCAAAGUCACCCUCACCCCAGGGGAAGGGCGCUGGUGAGGAGAGUCGUCGCAACAGUAAAAGGAGCCUCAGCAACAGCUCGGCGGUGGCCGCUGCCUACAUCUCCUACCUCAAUAAGCUCUUUGGACAGGUCAGUUCAACAGCACAUUGCCACUCAUACUGCUAGAGCCCAGGUUAAACCAAUACAGUUUCAAAUUUCCUGUUUAUAU